GCACCUCCACACCCCCAGCAUCUUGCACCCCUGGCACCGUGCACUCUCAGCACCCUGCACCUCUACACCCCCGGCACCUUGCACCCCUGGCACCCUGCACCUCUACACCUCCGGGCUGGUGAAAGUAGCUGUGCGGGAUCCCUGGAUGCUCCCACAGGAUGAUGUUUCUCCAGCAGUCCAAAGGGCAGGAUAGCAGCCUGAGAAGUGCUGACUGGUCACAACAGGGAUCCAGCCUCCCAAGCCUCAGAGGAUACAAGGGCCAGACAAGGAGCGAUAUGGAGGUCCAGCCCUGCUGGAGGACAAUUACCAGUUUUGUGUUUUGAGGACUGCUGUGGCACAGAGACUGAUCUGGAAAAAUGUGUGGAAAUGAGACCAGAGCCAGUCUGACUUCUUAAACUCAGCACUUCUUCACCUGUCCUCAGUUUCCCCAGGCUUUGCACCCAGGAGGACUAACAAAGGAGCAGACUUGCUAGUGCCUUGAGUACCCACCUAUCUAUACGGAGACGGCACACAAUUCCCAGGAUAUCCACCUCUCCUGUUUCCUUCAGCUGCUGGCAGCCAAUCCUGGUAGCAAUAAAGCAGCCCGUCCGGCCGAUUCCUGCACUGCAGGACAGCAAGAGCCAGGUCAGACACAGGUAUCCUGAACACAGCAAUAAAAUGCCCAGACCCU